GCAAAACUAUACCCGUGAAACUGCGAAAUGGCUCAUUAAAUCAGUUAUCGUUUAUUUGAUAGUACCUACUUACUUGGAUAACCGUGGUAAUUCUAGAGCUAAUACAUGCUAAAAACCUCGACUUCGGAAGGGGUGUAUUUAUUAGAUAAAAAACCAAUGCCCUUCGGGGCUCCCUGGUGAUUCAUAAUAACUAAACGAAUCGCAUGGCCUUGCGCCGGCGAUGGUUCAUUCAAAUUUCUGCCCUAUCAACUUUCGAUGGUAGGAUAGUGGCCUACCAUGGUGGCAACGGGUAACGGGGAAUUAGGGUUCUAUUCCGGAGAGGGAGCCUGAGAAACGGCUACCACAUCCAAGGAAGGCAGCAGGCGCGCAAAUUACCCAAUCCCGACACGGGGAGGUAGUGACAAUAAAUACUGAUGUGGAGCUCUUUAGGGUUUCACAAUUGGAAUGAGAAAAAUCUAAACCACUUAAACGAGGAACAAUUGGAGGGCAAGUCUGGUGCCAGCAGCCGCGGUAAUUCCAGCUCCAAUAGCGUAUAUUAAAGUUGUUGCAGUUAAAAAGCUCGUAGUUGAACCUUGGGCCUGGCCGGCCGGUCCGCCUCACCGCGUGCACUGGUUCGGCCGGGCCUUUCCUCCUGGGGAACCGCAUGCCCUUCACUGGGUGUGCCGGGGAAUCAGGACUUUUACUUUGAAAAAAUUAGAGUGUUCAAAGCAGGCAUUUGCUCGAAUACAUUAGCAUGGAAUAAUAGAAUAGGACGUUGUGGUUCUAUUUUGUUGGUUUCUAGGACCGCCGUAAUGAUUAAWWAGGGACG
rnacentral:rRNA from 1 species